AGAGUUUGAUCCUGGCUCAGAUUGAACGCUGGCGGCAUGCCUUACACAUGCAAGUCGAGCGGCAGCGCGGGGGCAACCCUGGCGGCGAGCGGCGAACGGGUGAGUAAUACAUCGGAACGUGUCCAGUAGUGGGGGAUAACCAGUCGAAAGAUUGGCUAAUACCGCAUACGAUCUACGGAUGAAAGCGGGGGACCGCAAGGCCUCGCGCUAUUGGAGCGGCCGAUGUCGGAUUAGCUAGUUGGCGGGGUAAGAGCCCACCAAGGCGACGAUCCGUAGCUGGUCUGAGAGGACGAUCAGCCACACUGGAACUGAGACACGGUCCAGACUCCUACGGGAGGCAGCAGUGGGGAAUUUUGGACAAUGGGCGCAAGCCUGAUCCAGCCAUGCCGCGUGAGUGAAGAAGGCCUUCGGGUUGUAAAGCUCUUUCGGCGGGGACGAAACGGUCCGUGACAACACCACGGACUAAUGACGGUACUCGCAGAAGAAGCACCGGCUAACUACGUGCCAGCAGCCGCGGUAAUACGUAGGGUGCAGGCGUUAAUCGGAAUUACUGGGCGUAAAGCGUGCGCAGGCGGCUCCUUAAGUCAGAUGUGAAAUCCCCGGGCUUAACCUGGGAACUGCGUUUGAAACUGGGGAGCUUGAGUGUGGAAGAGGGGGGUGGAAUUCCAGGUGUAGCAGUGAAAUGCGUAGAGAUCUGGAGGAACACCAAUGGCGAAGGCAGCCCCCUGGGCUAACACUGACGCUCAUGCACGAAAGCGUGGGGAGCAAACAGGAUUAGAUACCCUGGUAGUCCACGCCCU
rnacentral:rRNA from 1 species